rnacentral:rRNA from 1 species
UACAGAGGUCUCAACCGUUGUUCGGAUUCAUUGGGCGUAAAGGGUGCGUAGGCGGUCGGGUAAGUCGGAUGUGAAAUCUCAGGGCUCAACCCUGAAACUGCAUUCGAUACUGCUUGGCUAGGGUACUGGAGAGGAGACUGGAAUUUACGGUGUAGCAGUGAAAUGCGUAGAUAUCGUGAGGAAGACCAGUGGCGAAGGCGGAUCUCUGGAGAGUUCCUGACGCUGAGGCACGAAGGCCAGGGGAGCAAACGGG